rnacentral:rRNA from 1 species
UACGAAGGGGGCUAGCGUUGUUCGGAAUUACUGGGCGUAAAGGGCUCGUAGGUGGCCACUUAAGUCAGACGUGAAAUCCCUCGGCUUAACCGGGGAACUGCGUCUGAUACUGGAUGGCUUGAGUUUGGGAGAGGGAUGCGGAAUUCCAGGUGUAGCGGUGAAAUGCGUAGAUAUCUGGAGGAACACCGGUGGCGAAGGCGGCAUCCUGGACCAACACUGACACUGAGGAGCGAAAGCCAGGGGAGCAAACGGG